CUACCGGUUUCAGAAAAGAGAAGCUAAGAGAAAUGAGAUCAUGGUGCUGCAGACCAAAUUUGAGCAGGACAAGAAACGGAUACAGCAGUUGAGAGCUGCAAGAAAAUUUCGACCUUACUAAUACUACUUCUUGAAGGGAGUUGUUAUAAGCUAGAAAAGAGAGGAUCGGAAGGUUUAGGGAAAAAGGGGUUCCAAUGAAAACCACAUUACCUUAACUUGAGAACAUAUUCAUUUACUAUGGUUUUAGUUUCCGAGCUCAUCAAUUAUUUUAUCAGGUAACUCCAUCCAUAAAAAAUGCACAUGAAUUUUGUCAUAGAGGCAGGCGACUUUGCG
rnacentral:misc_RNA from 1 species